rnacentral:rRNA from 1 species
GUCUUUUUGAAAAUUAAUUUAAAGUCUAAUCUGCCCACUGAUAAUUUAAAUGGCCGCAGUAUCUUAACUGUGCAAAGGUAGCAUAAUCAUUAGUUUUUUAAUUGGAAACUUGUAUGAAUGAUUGGACGAGGUAUAAACUGUCUCAUAAAAAUAAAUUGAAUUUUAUUUUUUAGUCAAAAAGCUAAAAUAUAUUUAAAAGACGAGAAGACCCUAUAGAUCUUGAUAUUGAUUAAUUACUACUUUUAAGAAAUUUUUUGUAAUAAUUAUUAUUUAUAUUUUGUUGGGGUGACAUUGAAAUUUAUAAAACUUUCAUUAUUUAUAAAACAUUAAUUUAUGAACUUUUGAUCCUUUAUUAAAGAUUAUAAAUUUAAGUUACCUUAGGGAUAACAGCGUAAUUAUUUUGGAGAGUUCAUAUCGAUAAAAUAGAUUGCGACCUCGAUGUUGGAUUAAGAUUAAUUCUGGGUGUAGCAGUUCAGCUUAUUAACUCUGUUCGACUUUUAAUUUCUU